CAGUCACUGGAGGCAUCAUGCUCUCGACGAGUGUUAAGUUGAAGGUUUUUGAGCAGAUUUCUGAAGUUGAAGGUUGCAAAAAGAGGUAAAAAAGACAUACAAUGUAGUUGGGGUAGGAUAGUUAGGUAAGUAAAUACGUACGUAAAUACACAGACAGACAGUAGUUUGCAUGGACAUCCAGCUAGGAAACUUGAGACAGUGUUGAAUUUUAUGGCUUGUUUUUUACAAGGCCAACACGUUAACUUGUUCAGUUUCAGGAUGAAACAUAACAUGCUAUGCAUCAUCAUCUUAAUUCAUAUUACGGCAAAGAAUGGAACAUGUUUUGCAUGCACGUAUUGAAGUUGUGCUAAAAGAAAGAUUAAAAAACGACGAGGUUGAUGUUGAGGUCACUUUUUCAUUCGUUCAGCAGGCUCCAAGUCCAGUGGACCAGUUGCGACGACGAAGCGAUAGUUUCCGAAAUUUAUCGUGCAAAACAGGAAAAUGGGUCUCUCUGAGUGUGCAAUUUACUGGAUGCAGGAACAAUUUGCGGUCCUGCGACCGUACAUGCUCAGUGCGUUGGUCAUCUUCUGGUUCAUCCUUUUGUGGAAGUUGUCUCCCAUGGCGUUUGGCGUGGUUGGAAUGACCUGUCUGAAUUUUGUGGGGGUCUGUGCCCUGCUAAUUUUUAGAUUCUAUGAUAACUUGGGAAUUGGGUUCUAAAUAAUUAAAUAAUCAGUCAGGACGAAGAAUUGAUAUUUGUAAAUAUAAUUGUUUUUUUAUUCGUUGCUUACAUUUCUACAUAUGUAAUUACAACAUUGUAUAACGAAUUUAUUAUGAUCUCAAUAAAUACAUAUUUAGUUUACUAAAGAA